GUGUUCGUAGAAAGGAGAGACGGUUGGCAUCUCCCCUGACAGGGACGGGAACAGCCUUCGGGCUUUCUCUGACCAUACACAUACGGUUAAGGCUACCCACCCUUUGUGGUGGAUCUCUAACCCAAUUUUUUU